UAGUGAGUUUGAUCCUGGCUCAGGAUGAACGCUGGCGGCAUGCCUAACACAUGCAAGUCGAACGAAGCCUUCGGGCUUAGUGGCGCACGGGUGCGUAACGCGUGGGAAUCUGCCCUUGGGUUCGGAAUAACAGUUAGAAAUGACUGCUAAUACCGGAUGGUGUCUUCGGACCAAAGAUUUAUCGCCCAAGGAUGAGCCCGCGUCGGAUUAGCUAGUUGGUGAGGUAAAGGCUCACCAAGGCGACGAUCCGUAGCUGGUCUGAGAGGAUGAUCAGCCACACUGGGACUGAGACACGGCCCAGACUCCGUACGGGGAGGCAGCAGUGGGGUAAUAUGGACAAUGGGCGAAAGCCUGAUCCAGCAAUGCCGCGUGAGUG
rnacentral:rRNA from 1 species